CGGAGGGUGCGAGCGUUGUCCGGAAUCAUUGGGCGUAAAGGGCGCGUAGGUGGCCCGGUCAGUCUUUGGUGAAAGCGCGGGGCUCAACCCUGCGUCGGCCAGGGAUACUGCCGCGGCUCGAGCACUGUAGAGGCAGGCGGAAUUCCGGGUGUAGCGGUGGAAUGCGUAGAGAUCCGGAAGAACACCGGUGGCGAAGGCGGCCUGCUGGGCAGUUUUGCUGACACUGAGGCGCGACAGCGUGGGGAGCAAACAGGAUUAGAUACCCUGAUAGUCCACGCCGUAAACGAUGGGCACUAGGCGCUUGGGGGAGCGACCCCCCGAGGGCCGGCGCUAACGCAUUAAGUGCCCCGCCUGGGGAGUACGGCCGCAAGGCUG
rnacentral:rRNA from 1 species